AUGGAGGCCGCACGCAAGGAGGAGGACGGCGGCAGCCGCGGUGACGACAAGCUGCCGCAGGUGGUGUUCGACCGCAUCCUUCGGCGUCAGAUGGUGUACGACGCGCUCAAGCGCGGGGGCGGGGUGGAGGUGCCGUCGUGGGUCCAGCUGCUCACCAUCCUCCUUUCCUUCUCCCCACAGCCGCACAGAUCCGGCAGCUCCCCACAGCCGCACAGAUCCGGCAGCUCCUAA
rnacentral:rRNA from 1 species